AGCCCACAUGGCUCAGUGGUAGAGCACUUCCUUGGUAAGGAAGAGGUCACCGGUUCGAUCCCGGUUGUGGGCUCCAU
rnacentral:tRNA from 1 species